UAAAAGUUUAAUUUUAAGAUUUAACUUUAAUUAUGAUUUUAGUUUUUAAAUAAAGUUUUAAUAUAACUGACAAGGGAUAUUAAUAUUAUUUUAUAAUAAUUUAUAGUACCUUUUGUAUCAGGGUAAUUUAAUUACUAAAAUUAUAGUUUUUUAUCUCGAAAAAAAGAGAUCUAAUUUAUAUUAAUUUUUUUUAUGUCAAUAAAAUUAUAAAUUAUAUUUUUGUAAUAAAAUGUUAAUCGUUCUUUUUAUAUCUAGUUAUUUAGGAAAUCAAUUAAAUUGAAGAUUAAGGAUUAUUUUUUUAUAGUUAUUAUAUUAAUCUUAAAUAAUUUGGGAUAAGCUAUUUUUUUUUUUAAAAUAUAAUAAAAAUAAUUUUUAUUUAUUUUAAUAUUUUAUAUUGAGUUUUUAAUAAAUUAGGAUUUGUUAUUUUAAUUUUAUAUUAUUUAUAUUAUUACUAAAUUAAUUUAUAAAAUAAUUUUUUCUAUAAAAUAAUGAUUUAAUUAGUAUAAUUUUUAAUUAAUUUUUAAUGAACUCGACAAAAUUAAUUUUCAACUGUUUAUCAAAAACAUUUCUUUUAGCGUUUUUAUUAAAAGUAAAUUCUGCCCUAUGAUAUUUUUAAAUGGCUGCAGUAUUUUGACUGUGCAAAGGUAGCAUAAUAAUUAGUCAUUUAAUUGUUGACUUGAAUGAAUGAAUACAUGAGAGAUUAAUUUUAUUAAUUUUAUUAUUAAAAUUUUAUUUUUAAGUAAAAAAGCUUAAUUUUAAUUUUGGGACGAUAAGACCCUAAAGAACUUUAUUACUAUUAUUUAUUAAUAUUAAUUAGUAAAUUAAAUUAUAUUAAUAAUUUUAUUUUUUUUUAUUGGGGUGAUAAAUAAAUUAAACUUUAUUUAAUUAAAUCAUUAAUUUAUGAUUAUUAUGAUCUGUUUUUACAAUUAGAAGAAGAAGUUACCUUAGGGAUAACAGCGUAAUUUUAAUGGGGAGUUCAUAUCUAUAUUAAAGUUUGCGACCUCGAUGUUGAAUUAAGAUAAAUAUAGGGGGUAGAUUUUUUAUUAUUAAGUCUGUUCGACUUUUAAAUUCUUACAUGAUUUGAGUUCAAACCGGUGUAAGCCAGGUUGGUUUCUAUCUUAAAUUAAUUAUUGUUUCAUAGUACGAAAGGACCUGCGACAACAAAAAAAAUUUUGUUCCAUUAACGAAUACAACU
rnacentral:rRNA from 1 species